AAUAUCAAACCAGCAGGUUAUAAAUACUCCAUAAAACCCAUGUUCUGCUUCUGUUGUAUUUUAAACAUGCGGAAGUCAGUGGAUGACUUUUUGUUUUCUAGUAGUCGGUUCAAGUAUGAGUCAAAACAAACCACCUUGUUCAUUAGAAAAAAACAGUAUGAGAAAAUGUAGAGACCGCAACCGUUCUCGAGCGAGUCUUUUAUAAUGGCGUGCUCCUACACAUCAUCCUGCCCACUGGGCUGAGCAACGUGAAGGCUCAACAUAAAAGCUCGCGCGCUCAUGAAAGAUCACUGGAUUCCAAUGAUUUGGGCAACUGCUGUUUGCUACUUCAGAACACUUCAACAUCAAGACGAAUGCACGACUUUCUUCUCACCUAAAUACAAGAACUCAUUUCUGUCUUUGAGUGAUCACUGAAUAUGGACAGACUUCCUCACGACAUAUGUGACGGUGCAUGUCGUACAGCACUCAGCUGCUUGUGUGGGAUCUACGAGAUGCUCGUGAACGUGUUUUCAUGUGGAGAGCCAGAAGACCCAGUUGAGUCAGAAGAUGGAGAUAUUCAUCUCUCAGUGGAGGAGACUGAACCAGCAAGGACCAAAGACUCAGUACAUCCUUUCUUCUAAACCCAUACAUGAGACACGUCUUCUGACGUAAAGAGAAGAACAUGUCAUUAAAUAGGAUUUACAUUUUUAUUUAUAUUUUUACUUACGAAUUUUAUAUCUAUUUGAUAACUUUUGAAAGCGUUUUCAAGAACAAUAUGACAAUUUUCUUAUCUAUAUUUUUUCCUGCAUUAUUCAAUUACAUUAAUUUUAUUUAUACUACGCUUUUAAAAAUAAACAUUUUCUCAAAGCGGCUUUACACUGGAAAUGUGGUGAUAAAAAUGUUCUUUAUAAGUGUGUCUACAUAUAUACUGUAAAUAGCUUUUUAUAAUUUUGUAUCUUAAAUCCAAUUAAAAAUAGAACGAGUCAAAAUCUCUCUCGCUCUCUCUCUAUGUCUCUCGCACGGUCUCUCUGUCUCUCCCUCUAU